CUUACGGGUGACAGCAGUGAGGAAUAUUGGUCAAUGGGCGGAAGCCUGAACCAGCCAAGUCGCGUGAGGGAUUAAGGCCCUGCGGGUCGUAAACCUCUUUUGCCGGGGAGCAGUGGUCCGGACGUGUCCGGGCCGGGAGAGUACCCGGAGAAAAAGCAUCGGCUAACUCCGUGCCAGCAGCCGCGGUAAUACGGGGGGUGCAAGCGUUGUCCGGAAUCAUUGGGCGUAAAGAGUUCGUAGGUGGCACGUUAAGUCUGGUGUUAAAGGCGGAAGCUCAACUUCCGUAGGGCACUGGAUACUGGCGAGCUUGAAUGCGGUAGAGGUAAAGGGAAUUCCUGGUGUAGCGGUGAAAUGCGUAGAUAUCAGGAGGAACAUCGGUGGCGUAAGCGCUUUACUGGGCCGUAAUUGACACUGAGGAACGAAAGCCGGGGUAGCAAAUGGGAUUAGAUACCCCUGUAGUC
rnacentral:rRNA from 1 species